GAUGAACGCUAGCGGGAGGCUUAACACAUGCAAGUCGAGGGGCAGCAUAAUGUAGCAAUACGUUGAUGGCGACCGGCGCACGGGUGAGUAACGCGUAUGCAACCUACCCUGUACAGGGGGAUAGCCCGGAGAAAUUCGGAUUAAUACCUCAUAAAGAUAUCUGGAGGCAUCUUUAGAUAUUUAAAGUUUCGACGGUACGGGAUGGGCAUGCGUAACAUUAGCUGGUUGGUAGGGUAACGGCCUACCAAGGCGACGAUGUUUAGGGGUCCUGAGAGGGUGAUCCCCCACACUGGUACUGAGACACGGACCAGACUCCUACGGGUGGCUG
rnacentral:rRNA from 1 species